rnacentral:misc_RNA from 1 species
AAGUCGUAACAAGGUUUCCGUAGGUGAACCUGCGGAAGGAUCAUUAGCGAGAUUGCCCGCGCGCCAGCCCUUGCGGGUUGUGCGCGAGCAAGAGCCAUCCUUGUGUUGUGUGUGGUGUCGCUUGUGUGCGCACUCUCCUUGUUGGGAGUGGGCACACGUGCACUUUUUUUUCACCCAUUCGUAUUUUAUUUCUAAUCCACUGCUCAUACGAGCACAAACAACCGAAAACUGCCAGCAAUGGAUCACUCGGUUCUCGCAUCGAUGAAAGC